CAAUAGCGUAUAUUAAAGUUGUUGCAGUUAAAAAGCUCGUAGUUGGAUUUGUGGCGUACGGUGUGUUCCGGGCACUUGUUGUCUGAGUAACCUGCUGUUGCCAUCCUUGGGUGGAACCUGUGUGGCAUUAGGUUGUCGUGCAGGGGAUGCCCAUCAUUUACUGUGAAAAAAUUAGAGUGUUCAAGGCAGGCUUAUGCCGUUGAAUAUAUUAGCAUGGAAUAAUGAGAUAGGACUUUUUUGCUAUUUUGUUGGUUUGCGCAAGAAGGUAAUGAUUAAUAGGGACAGUUGGGGGUAUUCGUAUUCCAUUGUCAGAGGUGAAAUUCUUGGAUUUUUGGAAGACGAACUACUGCGAAAGCAUUUACCAAGGAUGUUUUCAUUAA
rnacentral:rRNA from 1 species